rnacentral:misc_RNA from 1 species
GAUGAAGAACGUAGCGAAAUGCGAUAGGUAAUGUGAAUUGCAGAAUUCAGUGAAUCAUCGAAUCUUUGAACGCACAUUGCGCCCUUUGGUAUUCCUUAGGGCAUGCCUGUUCGAGCGUCACUACACACCUUAUCACAAUAUUUGUGGUCUUGGCAGGAGUGAAUUGCUGGUCUAUGGAAGUAUUCCAGCAGUACACAAUGCUAAAAAAUAUGGGAAGGUUACCAGAUAUGAACAACAGACUUUGUAAAUGGUUGUAGGACCUAGAUCAGUCACAAGUCAUGUCUGGUACCUUACCUUAAGGACCCCCAUCCUAGAUGAACUAUGGGUUGACCUCGGAUCAGGUAGGAAUACCCGCUGAACUUAAGCAUAUCAAUAAGCGGAGGA